CGAUUGGAGCGGCCGAUAUCAGAAUUAGGUAGUUGGUGGGGUAAUGGCUCACCAAGGCGACGAUCAGUAGCUGGUAUGAGAGGACGACCAGCCACACUGGGACUGAGACACGGCCCAGACUCCUACGGGAGGCAGCAGUGGGGAAUUUUGGACAAUGGGCGAAAGCCUGAUCCAGCCAUGCCGCGUGCAGGAAGAAGGCCUUCGGGUUGUAAAGUGCUAUUGUCCGGGAGGAAAAGGUUGUACCUAAUAAGUUGAGCUCAUGACGGUACCGUAAGAAUAAGCACCGGCUAACUACGUGCCAGCAGCCGCGGUAAUACGUAGGGUGCGAGCGUUAAUCGGAAUUACUGGGCGUAAAGCGUGCGCAGGCGGUUAUAUAAGUCAGAUGUGAAAUCCCCGGGCUCAACCUGGGAACUGCAUUAGUGACUGCAUAGCUGGAGUGCGGCUUAGGGGGAUGGAAUUCCGCGUGUAGCAGUGAAAUGCGUAGUUAUGCGGAGGAACACCGAUGGCGAAGGCAAUCCCCUGGGCCAGUACUGACGCUCAGC
rnacentral:rRNA from 1 species